rnacentral:lncRNA from 1 species
UACAGAACGGUAAGCCGGGAUCACACGGAGGCGAAAUUGAGCUGAAAAUGGCACAUCGGUGCUUUUGUUGAGUGUUGAUGCCAGAAUCUAGAUUCAGUGGUGUUCACACGUCAGACUGCGAAAAUGACGUGAAAAUGGCGGAAAGCGGGGGAAAAAGUGUAAACAAACAAAACAUUUUUUUAUUGUAAUGAAUUUCGUCGCGCUUAUUUCUAGCUUUUUUUAACAUGUAAGUUGUUAAUUCAAAUUACAAAUAAGUAAUGGAUGAUAUUCUUACGUUCACUUUACUUGCUUGGACGAUUCUGCUGUUCCCCUAGUAGCAAAAAUACGUAUCCUCAUCCCCACAGUAAUACGUCUCAGAGAGAUACGUAUAAAUAUCGUAUUGAAUACGUAUUUAUACUAUUUUUAUACUGUAUCAAUAUUUAAUAUCCAAUACCUCUAUUUAAUACGUAUUUAUACUAUUUUUAUACUGUAUCAAUAUUCGAUAUUCGAUCAUCGCUAUUCAAUACGUAUUUAUCUUACACUUGAACCGUAUCAGAAUAUUCAAUGAAUAUCGGAUCCAAAUAUAGGUAUUUAUACCAGAUAUUUAAAAUUGCGCGCCACGUGGCUGCGAUGCCGACGGAAACGGUUACUGGUUCCGGCUCUCACCGAACAUCGGGACUCCCGGCGCCGGCAGUCGGGCAGUGUUUUGUUUUGUUCGCGCGUAAUUUUGCAUGCAUUUGCACUUGCACUGGUGUAAUUGAAGUUCUUGAAAGGUGCACGAUGGAGUCGAAUGAAGAAAUUGCUUCAGCUUCAAUUAAUACCGAGAAGGAUUGGACCAUAGUUUCGUAUAAAAACAUCAAAGGAGUAACCGUCUUUGACGUAAUUCCAAAUUUGUGGUUUAUAGAUGACAAGCACGAAAAAUGCUAUUAUCCGCCCUCAAUGCCUAAAUAUAGAGCCAAAAUAAAGCGAAGCCGGAGCCUCACUGGGAACAGCUACGAGUAAAGGAGACAAAUAUCAAUACUGUGAGUACAUUCAUAAAUUUACAGUUGUACUAAUCUUAGCCUGCAUUUACUUACUGAAUUGGUUACUGCAGUACCUGUUUGUAUGCAGAUAAUUUUAUUUUUUACCAGAGGGUAGACAGAAUUUUAAACAGAAUAAUGAAAAAAAUAUCAAGGAAUUUUUAUCAAUAGUCAUUACUUUUUUUCGAGCGGUUUGAUGUAUACUUCUGCUCAAAGGCACUUUUGCAUAGGACCAACAUAAAUUUAUACAAACGUUUCCGUUAUCCCCUAAUUCUGUCCACAAAAUAGCGUAACAAUUUGCUAAAAAAAUGAAACAAAUCUUACAAUCGAUUUCAAUAAUUUUUUAGAAACUUGUAACUUGCAUGUUAAGG